rnacentral:rRNA from 1 species
GACGAACGCUGGCGGCGUGCUUAACACAUGCAAGUCGAACGGAAAGGCCCUGCUUUUGUGGGGUGCUCGAGUGGCGAAAGGGUGAGUAACACGAGAGUAACCUGCCCUUGACUUUGGGAUAACUUAAGGAAACUGGGGCUAAUACCGGAUAGGAGCUCCUGCUGCAUGGUGGGGGUUGGAAAGUUUCGGCGGUUGGGGAUGGACUCGCGGCUUAUCAGCUUGUUGGUGGGGUAGUGGCUUACCAAGGCUUUGACGGGUAGCCGGCCUGAGAGGGUGACCGGCCACAUUGGGACUGAGAUACGGCCCAGACUCCUACGGGAGGCAGCAGUGGGGAAUAUUGCACAAUGGGCGGAAGCCUGAUGCAGCAACGCCGCGUGCGGGAUGACGGCCUUCGGGUUGUAAACCGCUUUCGCCUGUGACGAAGCGUGAGUGACGGUAAUGGGUAAAGAAGCACCGGCUAACUACGUG